rnacentral:rRNA from 1 species
UACGGAGGGUGCAAGCGUUGUUCGGAAUCACUGGGCGUAAAGGGCGUGUAGGCGGCCUGUUAAGUCUGAUGUGAAAUCCCCUCGCUCAACGAGGGAACUGCGUCGGAAACUGGCAGGCUCGAGUACCGGAGAGGAAGGUGGAAUUCCCGGUGUAGCGGUGAAAUGCGUAGAUAUCAGGAGGAACACCCAUGGCGAAGGCGGCUCUCUAGUACGGGACUGGCGCUGAGACGCGAAAGCGUGGGGAGCGAACAGG